rnacentral:rRNA from 1 species
AGUGAACGCUGGCGGCGUGCCUAAUACAUGCAAGUCGAACGGAGAUUAAGUAGCUUGCUAUUUAAUCUUAGUGGCGCACGGGUGAGUAAUAUAUAGCUAACUUGCCCAUUACUAAGGGACAACAGUUGGAAACGACUGCUAAUACCUUAUACUCCGUAUCUAUAUAAGUAGAUACGGGAAAGUUUUUCGGUAAUGGAUAGGGCUAUAUCGUAUCAGCUAGUUGGUAAGGUAAUGGCUUACCAAGGCUAUGACGCGUAACUGGUCUGAGAGGAUGAUCAGUCACACUGGAACUGAGACACGGUCCAGACUCCUACGGGAGGCAGCAGUAGGGAAUAUUGCUCAAUGGGGGAAACCCUGAAGCAGCAACGCCGCGUGGAGAAUGACACUUUUCGGAGCGUAAACUCCUUUUCUUGGGAAAGAAUUAUGACGGUACCCAAGGAAUAAGCACCGGCUAACUCCGUG